rnacentral:rRNA from 1 species
UACGGGAGGCAGCAGUGGGGAAUAUUGCACAAUGGGCGAAAGCCUGAUGCAGCUAUGCCGCGUGUAUGAAGAAGGCCUUAGGGUUGUAAAGUACUUUCAUCGGGGAGGAAAAACAAAACUAAUAAUUUUAUUUCUUGACGUUACCCGAAAAAGAAGCACCGGCUAACUCCGUGCCAGCAGCCGCGGUAAUACGGAGGGUGCUAGCGUUAAUCAGAAUUACUGGGCGUAAAGAGCACGUAGGUGGUUUUUUUAAGUCAGAUGUGAAAUCCCUGGGCUUAACCUAGGAACUGCAUUUUGAAACUGAAAUACUAGAGUAUCGUAGAGGGAGGUAGAAUUCUAGGUGUAGCGGUGAAAUGCGUAGAUAUCUGGAGGAAUACCUGUGGCGAAAGCGGCCUCCUAAACGAAUACUGACACUGAGGGUGCGAAAGCGUGGGGAGCAAAC